rnacentral:tRNA from 1 species
GGGGAUGUAGCUCAAUGGUAGAGCACUUGCCUAGCAUGAAUGAGACCCUAGCUCCAUUCCCA